rnacentral:rRNA from 1 species
AUGGAGAAGAGGAAGAAGGUGGAGGAGGACGAGGAGCAGAAGCAGCCGGCGGCGGCGGAGAGCUCCUGGGGGGCCGACCUGCUUCCGGAGAUCCUCCGGGAGAUCCUGUCGCGGGUGCCGUACCGGUCGCUGUGCCGCUUCAGGUGCGUGUCCAAGGCGUGGCUGGCGCUCUGCUCCGACCCGGCCGUCCGCAGGAGGUCGCCGCAGACGCUCUCCGGCUUCUUCUGCUACUCCCAGCACGACGUCGGCGGCGGCCAGCGCCGCGACGGCCUCAGCUUCCUCAACCUGUCCGGGUGGGGCCGGCCGCUGGUCGACGACCCCUCCCUCCUCUUCGUGCGCGUGCGUGGCUACUGCGACGUCACGCCCCUGCACUGCUGCGGCGGCAUCCUCCUCUGCUACUGCGAGAAGGUGGCCAUGAGCGACGACGGGAACUAUGUCGUGUGCAACCCUGCCACCAAGGAGAUCUGGGCCGUGCUGUCUGUGCCCCGAAACAAGAUCAUGACACGCCUCAACACUGCCCGCCUCUGCUUCGACCCCGCCGCCCCCGGCCGAUUCGUGGUGUUCGUGUUCGUGCAAAGUUUUCGUGGGAUUCAGACGGUGGAGGCCUAUUCCUCGGACACCGGACGGUGGACCUCCAUGCGGAGCGAGUGGAACCCCAAGACCCUCCUCCUCGGUGAGGAUUCAGAAUGCGUCUUCUUGAACGGCACUUUGCAUCUGGUCGAUGCCGACCAUUCUGAUGCCGAUUUUGACUGGGAGGGGAAUCUGAUACGCUGGAUGGUGACUGUGGACAUGGAGGGUAAAACAUGGAGGAAGAUCCGAAUGCCGGAUUGCAUCUAUAAUGGUUUCAUCGGGCAGUCGCAAGGACGCCUAUACGCAACGCAUGUUGAAACUGAAGGUAGGUGCCGGCUAUCCGUUUGGGUUCUUGAGGAUUAUGCCAGCGGACAAUGGACCCUGAAGUGUACUGCCAGCAUUUUAGAAAUGCUAGGAAGGCCUCACCAUGAGCCCGGCGAACACUACACACUGAUCGCGAUCCAUCCAGAGUGCAGUUUGAUCUUCCUAGUAGUGAGCCGUGGAAAAACACUUAUGUCGUACGAUAUGGAUACCAGUAAACUGAGUAUUAUCUGCACUUUCGGAGACCGCCAGCCACGAAGAUUUCAGCCGUACAUUCCAUGUUUUGCGGAGAAGCCUAAAUAA